rnacentral:rRNA from 1 species
GGCGGACGGGUGAGUAAUACGUGGGAACAUCCUUUCAGUACGGAACAACGCUUGGAAACGAGUGCUUAAUACCGUAUACGCCCUUAGGGGGAAAGAUUUAUCGCUGAAAGAUUGGCCCGCGCUAGAUUAGCUAGUUGGUAAAGGUAACGGCUUUACCAAGGCGACGAUCUAUAGCUGGUUUGAGAGAAUGAUCAGCCACACUGGGACUGAGACACGGCCCAGACUCCUACGGGAGGCAGCAGUGGGGAAUAUUGGACAAUGGGGGCAACCCUGAUCCAGCGAUGCCGCGUGAGUGAUGAAGGCCUUAGGGUUGUAAAACUCUUUCAGGGGUGAAGAUAAUGACGGUAACCCCAGAAGAAGCUCCGGCUAACUCCGUGCCAGCAGCCGCGGUAAUACGGAGGGAGCUAGCGUUGUUCGGAAUUACUGGGCGUAAAGCGCGCGUAGGCGGCUUGGCAAGUAGAGGGUGAAAUCCCGGAGCUUAACUCCGGAACUGCCUCCUAAACUGCUGAGCUAGAAUCCUGGAGAGGUGAGUGGAAUUCCUAGUGUAGAGGUGAAAUUCGUAGAUAUUAGGAAGAACACCAGUGGCGAAGGCGACUCACUGGACAGGUAUUGACGCUGAGGUGCGAAAGCGUGGGGAGCGAACAGGAUUAGAUACCCUGGUAGUCCACGCCGUA